GGAGAUCAAGGAGACCUGGAGGAGGCACAGAGAACAGAAACACAUUUGAAGAAGCUGUGCUUGCUUCUUGGCCUUGGACUUGUACCAGGGAAUUGGGAGACAUGGAAGUACACACAUGGAAGAGACAGAGCCAUAGGUAAGAGAUGGAAACAACCCAAAUGCCCCAAAAUAGAUGACUGGAUCAAGAAGAUGUGGUACAUAUGCACAACGGAAUACGAUUCAGCAAUCAAAAAAGGAAGAGGACCGAGACAUAGAUGCACAAGGGGAGAGGACUGUAUGAUGAUGGAAGCAGAGAGUGACAUGCUGUAGCUACAAACAACGGAAUGCCAAGGAGUUCUUGUCAUCAGAAACUAGGAAGGAGAA